rnacentral:rRNA from 1 species
UACGGGGGGAGCAAGCGUUGUUCGGAUUUACUGGGCGUAAAGGGCGCGUAGGCGGUCGUGAUACAGUCACUUGUGAAAUCUCCGGGCUUAACUCGGAACGGUCAAGUGAUACUGUCGGACUAGAGUACAGAAGGGGCAACUGGAAUUCUCGGUGUAGCGGUGAAAUGCGUAGAUAUCGAGAGGAACACCUGCGGCGAAGGCGGGUUGCUGGGCUGAUACUGACGCUGGAGGAGCGAAAGCGUGGGGAGCAAACAGG